GGGUAAGGAUCUUGACCAUUUCCAAGUUCUCAAACAGAAGGGUAUACAGUGACCUCAGGGACUCCCCCUAUCUUUCAUUUGAAUUGUUAUAUUGUCCCGUACAUGAAUAUAUGGUUAAAGGGUGGCGAUCUCAACGGGUUUCAAAUUCUCAAACAGGAGGGGGUGGGGUGACCCAAGGCACUCCCCCUAUAUUUCAUCUGAUUUGUUAUAUUGUCCCAUACAUGAAUAUAUAUGGUUUAGGGGUGGGGAUCUGGACCAUUUUUAAAUUCUAAAACAGGAAGGGUGGGGUGACCCCCAGCGACUAUUCCUAUAUUUCAUUUAAUUUUUCAUAUUGUCACAAAC
rnacentral:lncRNA from 1 species